UACGAGGGGGGCGAGCGUUGUUCGGAAUUAUUGGGCGUAAAGGGUGCGUAGGCGGUUUUGUAAGUCUUAUGUGAAAUCUACAGGCUCAACUUGUAGUCUGCAUGAGAAACUGCAGGGCUUGAGUAUGGGAGAGGUGAGUGGAAUUCCUGGUGUAGCGGUGAAAUGCGUAGAUAUCAGGAGGAACACCUGUGGCGAAAGCGGCUCACUGGACCAUAACUGACGCUGGAUGACACGAAAGCUAGGGGAGCAAACAGG
rnacentral:rRNA from 1 species